GAAGCCGGACAGGCAGUCGCCGCGCCCUUCAGGGCGGGGAGGAAAGUCCGGGCUCCGCAGGGCAGGAUGCCGGCUAACGGCCGGGCGCCGCAAGGCGACGGAAAGUGGAACAGAGAGCUGAACCGCCGAUGGCCCCCGGGCGCGCAAGCGUACCGGGAACCGGCACAGGCAAGGGUGAAAAGGUGGACUCCUCCGGGAGCGGCCGGGGCAACCCGGUUCGGUAAGAGCGCACCGCGGACGUGGCAACACGGACGGCAGGCUAAACCCCAUCCGGAGCAAGGCCAAAUAGGGGUGCACAGGCGUGGCCCGCGCUGCACCCGGGUAGGCUGCUUGAGCCUGCCGGUAACGGCAGGCCUAGAGGAAUGACUGCUCAACGACAGAACCCGGCUUAUCGUCCGGCUUCCCAC
rnacentral:RNase_P_RNA from 2 species